rnacentral:rRNA from 1 species
GAUGAACGCUGGCGGCGUGCCUAAUACAUGCAAGUCGAGCGAACGGACGAGAAGCUUGCUUCUCUGAUGUUAGCGGCGGACGGGUGAGUAACACGUGGAUAACCUACCUAUAAGACUGGGAUAACUUCGGGAAACCGUAGCUAAUACCGGAUAAUAUUUUGAACCGCAUGGUUCAAAAGUGAAAGACGGUCUUGUUGUCACUUAUAGAUGGAUCCGCGCUGCAUUAGCUAGUUGGUAAGGUAACGGCUUACCAAGGCAACGAUGCAUAGCCGACCUGAGAGGGUGAUCGGCCACACUGGAACUGAGACACGGUCCAGGCUCCUACGGGAGGCAGCAGUAGGGAAUCUUCCGCAAUGGGCGAAAGCCUGACGGAGCAACGCCGCGUGAGUGAUGAAGGUCUUCGGAUCGUAAAACUCUGUUAUUAGGGAAGAACAUAUGUGUAAGUAACUGUGCACAUCUUGACGGUACCUAAUCAGAAAGCCACGGCUAACUACGUG